CCCCAGCCUGCUCCAUCCCCUCUGCCCGGAUUGUACCAUCGCAGGGGAAGAAAGAAGGAGAAAAAAAGAAAGAAAAAUGAGAACACUUGGGAGCUGGAGAUGAAUACUUCAUCUCUGACCCAGAUAAUGGCGAUAUAUGAAGCUCGGUGAGCGCUCCUUCCUCCGCCGUGUGCGCUCCCGGUGCGGCGGCUCGCCUCGUCUCCGUCUUCCUCCGCCUGGAUCCGGCUGUCCUUCUUUUUCGCUCCCUCUCUCCAUCUCGCUUUCUGAAAAGGAGGAGAGGAGGGAGGAACAGGGGCGCCUUUCGCCGUGGAGAAGGGGCGACGGAAGCGGGAAAAGUAAGCCCAGGAUUAUCCAGAGUUCCCUUCCUGGGAUUUCCAUCUAAAGGAGUCGGCGUGAGGCGGAAAACCAUCCAGAGAAAACGGGACCUCCAUCUGGCUUAGAACUGACCUGACAGUCCCACUGCAGACUUUGGCUUCACCU